UACGGGGGGGGCAAGCGUUGUUCGGAAUUACUGGGCGUAAAGGGCUCGUAGGUGGCCAACUAAGUCAGACGUGAAAUCCCUCGGCUUAACCGGGGAACUGCGUCUGAUACUGGAUGGCUUGAGUUUGGGAGAGGGAUGCGGAAUUCCGGGUGUAGCGGUGGAAUGCGUAGAGAUCCGGAAGAACACCGGUGGCGAAGGCGGCCUGCUGGGACAUGGCUGACGCUGAGGCGCGACAGCGUGGGGAGCAAACAGG
rnacentral:rRNA from 1 species